UGAAAACUUUCAGAUGCUUCUUCAUUGUUUUAGUCAUUUACCACUUUAAUGAAAUUAUCUGGCAACUUUAUUGUGGUGGGUGGGGAUCAAUGACGGUGUAAUGAGGCAAUUAGCAAAUUCUGAUAGUUCCAUCUACUCCAUGUGAAAGUCUCUUGAUGUUUUAUAUGGUACUCUUAUUAAUAAUCCCAGAGAGCAGGGGUUGGCAAACUAUGGCCCAUGGGCUAAAAUGGUUUUUACAUUUUAAAAGGGUUGAAAACUUUAAAACUGGAAGGAUACAUGACAGAGACUGGAUGGCCUACAAUGCCUAACAUAUUAUCUAGCCCUUUACAGAAAACAACUGACCAAUCCUUAUGAGACCAGACUUGCAAAAAUUACAGUAACAGAGUGAAAAACCUUCUUGAAGUGUUAGGAGGAACUUGAGUCAUAAUUUGAUGUUGAAUCAGAGAGAACAACUGUUUGGGCUUAUUUGCCUCAGAGUAUUUGCCCAGCCUCUGGUAACUAUCAUUCUAUUCUCUACCUCCAUGAGAGCAACUUUCUUAGCUCCCACAUGUGAAUGAGAACAUGCAAUAUUUGUCUUUCUGUGCCUGGCUUAUUUCAGUUAACAUCGUGACCUCCAGUUCCAUCCAUGUUGCUGCAAAUGGGAUUCAGAAUGUGUUGCUGGACUUCAAGAUAGGAAGAAUCUUUGCCUUGAUGGCUGAUGACAGUAACCACCCCAUCUACCAUCAUCUAUUAAGGAUUUACUGUGUGGUCACUUUACAGUCAUCCAAGUAAAUUUUCAUAAUCACCUGAUUACAUGGGUACCGCUUUUCAGAAAAAGAAACAGAUUUCUGGAGGGAUUCAGAAUCCAUGGCUGGAAGAGGUAGUAAGGCCAUUGGGAGGGCAUGCCUCUCCUCAGCCCACCCCCACCCUGUGUGGGUCUCCAUUCUGAAAUUUCCAUUCAGAUGACCCGGUCCUAGGCAGGGACCAAAAUUCCUUGUCAGCUGAGGAAGUCCUGAAGAAACAUCCUGAAGAUGAUGACUGCACUGCCAUCGUGGGCAGAUGCAGCUUCCAUCUACCUGAGGGCUGAAGGGGAAAACCUUUCACACACGUGAGGAAGGCGCAGCUCUGUGGAAAGGUCACUAGAAUGGCAGCGGCAGCAAAUAGGGCUCCAAUGCACGUUUGCAGUUAACUGGGUCCAAGGAGAGCAUGGCCCUCCACAGCAAGUUUGCUCUAUAGAAUAAAGUCCUGAGCUUGUUUUUAUCACAGUUAGACAGAGAAUGGUCUCUUGUUUCUCAGUUAUCCAGGGAAGAACAGUGUAUAUUCUCUGUAGAUGAGUGUUGUCUAAUGUAGUGAUUAAUCUCUGCUAGUGUUAGGAAAGCUCCACUACUGUGUGUGUGUGUGCGUGCAUGCGCGUGCGCAUGUGCACAUACUGCAGUCUUGACUUUCCAAUUACAAAAUGCCUAAGUCAGGUCACAUUGUCUUCUUCCAGCCAGUUUCUAAGGCAGGCAAUGGAAACAGGAGCCGAUGCCAAAUGGUCUAGAGGCAGAAGGGCUGCAUGCUUUGCAGGGCCAGCCCCAAGGCUGCCUUCCAGAGCUGCACUUUCUCUGGGGACAGUAAACUCUCACCGCAGCUGCCAGCCCCCUGUGCUUGGCCAUGCCCCUCACAUGGACUUGGAAUCAGUGUCUCUCUUGCUGAUGAGCACCUCCAGGAGCCUCAGUUUCGCCUUUAUGUGCUUAUAUUCACUGUAUUCUUCAGCCAUAGGAGUGCGGUCUUCCUUCUGGACAUUUCUAAUGCAAAUAAAGGAAAAAGGGGUCUGAGGAU
rnacentral:lncRNA from 1 species